UACGUAGGUGGCAAGCGUUGUCCGGAUUUACUGGGCGUAAAGGGCGUGCAGGCGGUUUGUUAAGUUCAGGGUGAAAGCUCCCGGCUCAACUGGGAGAGGUCCUUGGAUACUGGCAGACUUGAGGAGGGUAGAGGAGAAUGGAAUUCCUGGUGUAGCGGUGAAAUGCGCAGAUAUCAGGAGGAACACCGAUGGCGAAGGCAGGUCUCUGGGCCACUACUGACGCUGAGGCACGAAAGCGUGGGGAGCAAACAGG
rnacentral:rRNA from 1 species